rnacentral:lncRNA from 1 species
CGAGCCCAUCGGGCCACAAACUAAACGGGCUGUGCCUAGCCCAGCCUGUUACUAAACGGGCUGUGCCUGGCACGGCCCGCUUAGCCUAAAGGCUAAGCCCGGCACGGCCCUAGGCCCGUGGGGUGGCGGGCCGUGCCGGGCUCUGGCACGAGACGGGCCCGUCUAGCAAAAAAAAAAUAGCCGUUACCCAUAACGGCUAUUUGUGGUUUUUACCCAAAAUACCCUUCCCAACAGUCAUAAAACGGCUAUUUUGAGGGGUAUUUUGGGGGGGAAAAAUUUGGAGUCCUAUAAAUACCCCUUUCGUCCCUCAUUCUCACCACACCAAACCAACUCUUCUCUCCUUCUCUACUACUACUAUUUCUCUCUUCUAACAAUAUUUAGCAAGUGAUCUAGGCUUCUAGCAAUUUAAUUUUUAGUUUGCGUUUAGCAAGUGUUCAAGUGCUACACAAGAGGAGGUUCUUGUUGAGAAGUUAGAAGUACAAGAGAAAGAGAAGGUCACUCCUUGUUGAGAGCACAAGAGGAAGCUCACAAAUCUCGGCUCUACCUCUGGUCCUCUACUCAAUUCUUCUUUGUGGUU